AAUAGAUUUAAGAUCUAUAUAUAAAGAUUUUUCUUUUUUUAGAA
rnacentral:tRNA from 1 species